rnacentral:rRNA from 1 species
GUUAUAUGGUCAAGCGAAUAAGCGCACACGGUGGAUGCCUAGGCGGUCAGAGGCGAUGAAGGACGUGGUAGCCUGCGAAAAGUGUCGGGGAGCUGGCAACAAGCUUAGAUCCGGCAAUAUCCGAAUGGGGAAACCCACUGCUUCGGCAGUAUCCUGCAGUGAAUUCAUAGCUGCUGGAAGCGAACCCGGUGAACUGAAAUAUCUAAGUAACCGGAGGAAAAGAAAUCAACCGAGAUUCCCUAAGUAGUGACGAGCGAACGGGGAGCAGCCCUUAAGCUGGAAUGGCUUUAGAAAAACAAUCUGGAAAGAUUGGCCAUAGAAGGUGAUAGCCCUGUAUUUAAAAGGGCCACUCCAGUGAAGACGAGUAGGGCGGGGCACGUGAAACCCUGUCUGAAUAUGGGGGGACCAUCCUCCAAGGCUAAAUACUCCUGACCGACCGAUAGUGAACCAGUACCGUGAGGGAAAGGCGAAAAGAACCCCGGAGAGGGGAGUGAAAUAGAUCCUGAAACCGUGUGCGUACAAGCAGUAGGAGCUCGCAAGAGUGACUGCGUACCUUUUGUAUAAUGGGUCAGCGACUUACUGUUCGUGGCAAGCUUAACCGUAUAGGGGAGGCGAAGGGAAACCGAGUCUGAUAAGGGCGCAUAGUCGCGGGCAGUAGACCCGAAACCGGGUGAUCUAGUCAUGGCCAGGGUGAAGGUGCCGUAACAGGUACUGGAGGCCCGAACCCACGUCUGUUGCAAAAGACGGGGAUGAGCUGUGAUUAGGAGUGAAAAGCUAAUCGAACCCGGAGAUAGCUGGUUCUCCUCGAAAGCUAUUUAGGUAGCGCCUCAUAUGUAUCCUCUCGGGGGUAGAGCACUGUUAUGGCUAGGGGGUCAUCGCGACUUACCAAACCAUUGCAAACUCCGAAUACCGAGACGGACUGUAUGGGAGACACACGGCGGGUGCUAACGUCCGUCGUGAAAAGGGAAACAACCCAGACCCACAGCUAAGGUCCCAAAUUCACUGCUAAGUGGAAAACGAUGUGGAAAGGCAUAGACAGCCAGGAGGUUGGCUUAGAAGCAGCCACCCUUUAAAGAAAGCGUAAUAGCUCACUGGUCGAGUCGGUCUGCGCGGAAGAUUUAACGGGGCUAAGCAGUGAACCGAAGCUUGGGGUGCAUAAAACUUGUUUUAUGCGCGGUAGAGGAGCGUUCCGUAAGCCUGCGAAGGUGGAUUGAGAAGUCUGCUGGAGGUAUCGGAAGUGCGAAUGCUGACAUGAGUAACGAUAAUGCGGGUGAAAAGCCCGCACGCCGAAAGCCCAAGGUUUCCUUGCGCAACGUUAAUCGACGCAGGGUUAGUCGGUCCCUAAGGCGAGGGCGAAAGCCGUAGUCGAUGGGAAGCAGGUUAAUAUUCCUGCACCUCGCGUGAGUGCGAUGGAGGGACGGAGAAGGUUAGGUGUACCGGGCGUUGGUUGUCCCGGGGAAAGGCGGUAGGUUUGGAUCUUUGGCAAAUCCGGGAUCCUUUAAGACCGAGCACCGAGACGAGCCUUUAUGGCGAAGUCACUGAUACCACGCUUCCAGGAAAAGCUCCUAAGCUUCAGCUCACGAAGACCGUACCGUAAACCGACACAGGUGGGUAGGAUGAGAAUUCUCAGGCGCUUGAGAGAACUCGGGUGAAGGAACUAGGCAACAUGGCACCGUAACUUCGGGAGAAGGUGCACCCUUUUUGGUGGCUCGUGCGAGCUAUAGCUGAAGAGGGUCGCAGAAACCAGGCCGCUGCGACUGUUUAUCAAAAACACAGCACUCUGCAAACACGAAAGUGGACGUAUAGGGUGUGACGCCUGCCCGGUGCUGGAAGGUUAAUUGAUGGGGUCAGCCGCAAGGCGAAGCUCUUGAUCGAAGCCCCAGUAAACGGCGGCCGUAACUAUAACGGUCCUAAGGUAGCGAAAUUCCUUGUCGGGUAAGUUCCGACCUGCACGAAUGGCGUAACGACAGCGGCGCUGUCUCCACCCGAGACUCAGUGAAAUUGAAAUCGCUGUGAAGAUGCAGCGUUCCCGUGGCAAGACGGAAAGACCCCGUGAACCUUUACUAUAGCUUUACACUGAACGUUGAGUUCGUCUGUGUAGGAUAGGUGGGAGGCUAUGAAACUGUGGCGCUAGCUGCAGUGGAGCCAUCCUUGAAAUACCACCCUGUCGUGCUUGACGUUCUAACCUAGGUCCGUUAUCCGGAUCAGGGACCGUGUAUGGUGGGUAGUUUGACUGGGGCGGUCUCCUCCUAAAGAGUAACGGAGGAGCACGAAGGUACGCUCAGCGCGGUCGGACAUCGCGCACUGUGUGCAAAGGCAUAAGCGUGCUUGACUGCAAGAUCGACGGAUCAAGCAGGUACGAAAGUAGGUCUUAGUGAUCCGGUGGUUCUGUAUGGAAGGGCCAUCGCUCAACGGAUAAAAGGUACUCCGGGGAUAACAGGCUGAUACCGCCCAAGAGUUCAUAUCGACGGCGGUGUUUGGCACCUCGAUGUCGGCUCAUCACAUCCUGGGGCUGUAGUCGGUCCCAAGGGUAUGGCUGUUCGCCAUUUAAAGUGGUACGCGAGCUGGGUUCAGAACGUCGUGAGACAGUUCGGUCCCUAUCUGCCAUGGGCGUUGGAAGUUUGAGAGGGGCUGCUCCUAGUACGAGAGGACCGGAGUGGACGAACCUCUGGUGUUCCGGUUGUCACGCCAGUGGCAUUGCCGGGUAGCUAUGUUCGGAAGCGAUAACCGCUGAAAGCAUCUAAGCGGGAAGCGCGCCUCAAGAUGAGACUUCCCGGGGCACAAGCCCCCUAAAGGAACCAUGUAGACUACGUGGUUGAUAGGUCAGGUGUGUAAGUACAGCAAUGUAUUGAGCUAACUGAUACUAAUGAUCCGUGCGGCUUGACCAUAUAACCUCA